CAGUCGCCGCGGUAAAACGAAGGGUGCAAGCGUUAAUCGGAAUUACUGGGCGUAAAGCGUGCGUAGGCGGUGAGUUAAGUCUGCUGUGAAAUCCCCGGGCUCAACCUGGGAAUGGCAGUGGAUACUGGCAAGCUAGAGUGUGUCAGAGGAUGGUGGAAUUCCCGGUGUAGCGGUGAAAUGCGUAGAGAUCGGGAGGAACAUCAAUGGCGAAGGCGACUAUCUGGGCCAACACUGACACUGAGGCACGAAAGCGUGGGGAGCAAACAGGAUUAGAUACCCCUGUAGUCCCUGUCUCUUAUAC
rnacentral:rRNA from 1 species